rnacentral:lncRNA from 1 species
UACAGCUGCUGGCCUACACAGCCACAGCAGUGCAGGAUCUGAGCUGCAUCUCUGUGGUGUAGGUUGCAGAUGUGGCUUGGAUCCAGCGUUGCUGUGGCUCUGGUGUAGGCCGGCAGCUACAGCUCCGAUUGGACCCCUAGCCUGGGAAUCUAUAUGCCACGGGAGUGGCCCCAGAAAAGGCAAAAAAGACAAAAAAACAAAAACAAAAACAAAAAACUGCUUGAAGUGGUUCAGUGUAGCAAUGGUUAAAGAUGAUGGAGAACCAGGGGCAUCUGAAGGUCCAUCUCAAUGGAAUAAAUCGAUAAAGUAUGGUUGACAUACACUGUAGAUUAUUGUAUCAUUUGGGUCCUUGCAGGAACCACAUGCAAGCUCAAAAGGAGUGACGAAGAUAGCUCAAGAAAAGGACUAUUUACAAGAUAUGGGCGUGGUUCAGGGAAACUAAUAAGGAAUGGUAAAGCCCCAAGAUCUAGCAAGAGGGACAACUGGAGGGAACAACCUGAAUCAACCAGAACUGGAGCCCUAAGGGAGGGCCACCUGACAAAACUGUGACUUAUGUGGAGGAAUGCAGCUACUGGCAAACCAGACUAGCAAGGAAGGAGCCAAGAAGCAAAUACCUGACCUCUCUCUUCCUGCCCUCUGAUCUCCUGAUAGUGCCCCCCAUUGGACAAUCCAAUAGAAAUUUGGAGGACAAGGAAGCACAGAGAAGGAAGGGGGAAGGUAAAGGGACAGACACAGAAUGUCAGUCAGAAGUAUAUCACAGUAGUUGUAAAGAGUGAACUAAAUGUACAGAGAGCAACAUAGAUGGAUCUUAAAAUACAGAUUGGAGUGUAAAACUAAGAAACAGAAUGAGAUCCAUAAUACAUUUAGGUCAUUUGAAAAAUGCACACACUCUGAAGAAAUAUUUAGAUAGAGUGACAGACAGACAUAAAAUACCUAGGAAUAAUUUAAAUGAAAAAUGUGUAAGAUCUAUACAUUAGAAACAACAGCACAUUGCAAGAGAAAUUAAAGUAGAGUGAUAUACCAUGUUCAUGGGUCAAAAGAAUCCAUCCUCUAAAGAGGUCUCAAAUCCAAUGCAAUAGAUUCAAUGCAAUCCUAAUCAAAAUCCCAUUACAAUCAUAAUGCAAUCCUAAUCAAAAUUCAAACCUGACUCUCAAGUUUAUAUAAGAAGGCAAAGAACCUAUAAUAAGCAAAGUAGUCUUGAAAAAGAAGAAAGGAAUGUAGAACUUACACUACCUGAUUUGAAGGCCUAUGAUAAAACUAUAAUAACCAUGACAGUAUGGGAGUUCCGGUCAUGGCUUAGUGACAAUGAACCCAAAUAAUCUCUAUUAGAUGUGUGGUUCGAUCCCUGGUCCCGCUCAGUGGGUUAAGGAUCUGGUGUUGCCGUGAGCUAUGGUGUAGAUUGCAGAAGCAGCUCAGAUCCAGCAUUGCUGUGGCUAUGGCGGAGGCCUUCAGUUGUAGCUCUGACUUGACCCCUAGCCGGGGAACUUCCAUAUACCAUAGGUGCAGCCCUAAAAAGAAAAAAAAAUGAUGGUAUGGUAUUGGCAAAGGAUAAACAAAUACAUCAGUGGGGGAGUCUUCUUGUGGCACAGUGGGUUAAUAAGAAUCCACAUUGUCACUGCAGUGGCUUGGGUUGCUGCUGUGUCAUGGGUUUGAUCCCUGGCCCACCUUCCACAUGCUGCAGGCAGGGUCAAAAAAAAGAG